rnacentral:rRNA from 1 species
AAAUUGAAGAGUUUGAUCAUGGCUCAGAUUGAACGCUGGCGGCAGGCCUAACACAUGCAAGUCGAGCGGUAGCACAGAGAGCUUGCUCUCGGGUGACGAGCGGCGGACGGGUGAGUAAUGUCUGGGAAACUGCCUGAUGGAGGGGGAUAACUACUGGAAACGGUAGCUAAUACCGCAUAAUGUCGCAAGACCAAAGUGGGGGACCUUCGGGCCUCAUGCCAUCAGAUGUGCCCAGAUGGGAUUAGCUAGUAGGUGGGGUAACGGCUCACCUAGGCGACGAUCCCUAGCUGGUCUGAGAGGAUGACCAGCCACACUGGAACUGAGACACGGUCCAGACUCCUACGGGAGGCAGCAGUGGGGAAUAUUGCACAAUGGGCGCAAGCCUGAUGCAGCCAUGCCGCGUGUGUGAAGAAGGCCUUCGGGUUGUAAAGCACUUUCAGCGGGGAGGAAGGCGUUAAGGUUAAUAACCUUGGCGAUUGACGUUACCCGCAGAAGAAGCACCGGCUAACUCCGUGCCAGCAGCCGCGGUAAUACGGAGGGUGCAAGCGUUAAUCGGAAUUACUGGGCGUAAAGCGCACGCAGGCGGUCUGUCAAGUCGGAUGUGAAAUCCCCGGGCUUAACCUGGGAACUGCAUUCGAAACUGGCAGGCUAGAGUCUUGUAGAGGGGGUAGAAUUCCAGGUGUAGCGGUGAAAUGCGUAGAGAUCUGGAGGAAUACCGGUGGCGAAGGCGGCCCCCUGGACAAAGACUGACGCUCAGGUGCGAAAGCGUGGGGAGCAAACAGGAUUAGAUACCCUGGUAGUCCACGCCGUAAACGAUGUCGAUUUGGAGGUUGUGCCCUUGAGGCGUGGCUUCCGGAGCUAACGCGUUAAAUCGACCGCCUGGGGAGUACGGCCGCAAGGUUAAAACUCAAAUGAAUUGACGGGGGCCCGCACAAGCGGUGGAGCAUGUGGUUUAAUUCGAUGCAACGCGAAGAACCUUACCUGGUCUUGACAUCCACAGAACUUUCCAGAGAUGGAUUGGUGCCUUCGGGAACUGUGAGACAGGUGCUGCAUGGCUGUCGUCAGCUCGUGUUGUGAAAUGUUGGGUUAAGUCCCGCAACGAGCGCAACCCUUAUCCUUUGUUGCCAGCGGUCCGGCCGGGAACUCAAAGGAGACUGCCAGUGAUAAACUGGAGGAAGGUGGGGAUGACGUCAAGUCAUCAUGGCCCUUACGACCAGGGCUACACACGUGCUACAAUGGCAUAUACAAAGAGAAGCGACCUCGCGAGAGCAAGCGGACCUCAUAAAGUAUGUCGUAGUCCGGAUUGGAGUCUGCAACUCGACUCCAUGAAGUCGGAAUCGCUAGUAAUCGUAGAUCAGAAUGCUACGGUGAAUACGUUCCCGGGCCUUGUACACACCGCCCGUCACACCAUGGGAGUGGGUUGCAAAAGAAGUAGGUAGCUUAACCUUCGGGAGGGCGCUUACCACUUUGUGAUUCAUGACUGGGGUGAAGUCGUAACAAGGUAACCGUAGGGGAACCUGCGGUUGGAUCACCUCCUUA